rnacentral:rRNA from 1 species
UAGAGUAGCAAUACAAUAGGUUAGUGGCAGACGGGUGAGUAACACGUAGGUUAUCUACCCUCGAGUGGGGAAUAACAACCCGAAAGGGUUGCUAAUACCGCAUACGGUCGGAAGACUAAAGCCGAAAGGCGCUUGAGGAUGAGCCUGCGGCCCAUCAGGUAGUUGGUGAGGUAAUGGCUCACCAAGCCGAUGACGGGUAGCUGAUCUGAGAGGAUGACCAGCCACACUGGCACUGAUACACGGGCCAGACUCCUACGGGAGGCAGCAGCGAGGAAUAUUGCGCAAUGGAGGAAACUCUGACGCAGUAACGCCGCGUGAGGGAUGAAGGCUUUCGGG